AUGCCACCAAAAGGUAGCAUGCCAAAGAAACAACGGGUGGCGAACAAUACUCACCCAUAUUUGAUAUAUUUCAUGUUACAACAUAAACAUACAUAUUGCAGGUUACCAGCAUUCAUUAUCACUUCAUACAUGUUUGUUGCCACCUGCAGAUUAAACAUGCCUAGGAUGCAGGUGACAAGUAAAACAACAAUAUGA